rnacentral:rRNA from 1 species
GACGAACGCUGGCGGCGUGCUUAACACAUGCAAGUCGAACGGAAAGGCCCCUUUGGGGGUACUCGAGUGGCGAACGGGUGAGUAACACGUGAGUAACCUGCCCUUGACUUCGGGAUAACUUCAGGAAACUGGGGCUAAUACCGGAUAGGAAUCCUUGCUGCAUGGUGGGGGUUGGAAAGCUUCGGCGGUUUUGGAUGGACUCGCGGCUUAUCAGCUUGUUGGUGGGGUAGUGGCUUACCAAGGCUUUGACGGGUAGCCGGCCUGAGAGGGCGACCGGCCACAUUGGGACUGAGAUACGGCCCAGACUCCUACGGGAGGCAGCAGUGGGGAAUAUUGCACAAUGGGCGUAAGCCUGAUGCAGCAACGCCGCGUGCGGGAUGACGGCCUUCGGGUUGUAAACCGCUUUCAGCAGGGGCGAAGCUUGUGGUGACGGUACCUGCAGAAGAAGCACCGGCUAACUACGUG